CAAGAGGCAAUACAAGUUUAACUUUGCUGAUGCUCUGUUUCUCCAGUUUAUUAUUAUUAUUUUUUCUCUCUAUUGAUUUUGUGGUUUUGCUCUUUUCUGUUUCCUGCAUGGUCAAUAAAGUCAUUCCCCAGUGGGGGCAGCAAUGUUGGGAAUUGGGUUUCAUGGUUUGGCCAUCGGUAAUCUCUGUCAAAUGGAUGAUGAAAAUCUAGGCUCUGCAGGGUGAGCGAUAACAGAAUUUGGUUCGUUCAUCUUUUUUCUGUUUGCCUAUGUGUGGACUCAAAUCAACUGAAAAGUAUUUUGUGAACACCGGGAAGGGCAAUAGCUUUUGAGAUCGAAACUGGUCAAAAUAUGAGAGCAAUGACUCAUGAAAACAACCCUCACCUCCCAGUCUCUCUGUGAUGUUCCUACCCAGCUGUCUGCCUUCUCUUAGAGUCAGCCUUCUGCAAGCCUGUGAAGUAAAGAAGGACGCAGUGAGAAACUGGGACUAUCCCCAAAUCCAUCUAUCUGAACACUAGGCUGCUCAAUUUACCUUCAUCAGAAUAAAUAUCCCUUUUCAGGAUGAUAGAUUUACAUCUUUUCUGGGAAAAUAUCGACUAAAGGAAUCAGUGACAACAACAGCCAGUAGAAUUAUGUCCAGAACAAGGGAAGAACAAAGAUGGUUUGAUGCAGUGUAGCAGUUCAGAGACAGGUAAGUGGGGGAGAGGGGGUAGGGUUGAUGACACAGGCCUGAAAUUCUGCAGUAUAUGUCAAGGGAUUCCAUAAUGUUACAUGCUCUGAAGGAAACUAUG